GUUUUUUUUUUCUUCUCUUAGACUCAGUGUAAUGGUGCAUGUUAUAACUGGUGGCAUCUUAGAUGAGGAGAAAUGCAGCAUGUCAUAUUACAAGAAGGCCACAGGGAAGGCAGUGCCAAGGUUGCCUAGUUUGGCAACUGAACAUUUAAGGACAUGGCUUCUUUUUAUCUUUCCACACUGUCAUCCUGAGUUUUUUGGCCUGUUCAUUUAGGCUCCCUUCACGGUUCCAGAUGAUGAUUCCAGCUCUAGGAACUCCAUGCUGACGGAAAUGUCCAAAAGCAGCCACCACAGACACAGUACCUUUGCUUUGUCUUGCCCUUCUGGCACGAUGUUUCUACCUUAGAGGCAACCAACUAUGGACGGAAUCUCCUGGAAUCACAAGUCAAAUUAAACCUCUCCUCUUUUAAGCGGUGAAUAUCAGCCAGUCCACACCCACACAUGGAUUCUGGAUGACAGGUGGCACUACUGGAAAAACGUGAAUGCUUCCCAGAGAUGGUGGCGACAAGAAAGCAGGACCCUAGGAUGUGAGUUUUGUGUGUGCAGAAGGUCUGUGUGAGGAACACACAGGUGACGAAGAAAAAUGGUCACUUGUGAGAAUUAAAUUGUUGACCACGAAGACCUUUUAGAAACAUAAAAAAAAUGGCUACCUUCACAGGGCCAGGGACGAUGCCUUCCCUUGGAUUUUAUAUAAGAAUGCUGAGAGAAAGAAAUCCUCCUUCACCUCCUUCGUCAUUACUAAUGUGAACUCACAAGUGGAGCUGCCUCCACCUGUCUCCCGCGGGUGAUCCCAGCAUAACAACCUAGCUGAGAAAGAGGACAGCUCUCUCCACUACCUGCAUGUCAGUUCCAGAGACGGGCUGGCCGACUUGGCUUCAAUCAUACCAGGUCAAGCAAGUCCUAUAUCCAGACCAUGCACAGUGCCCGGGAAUCCAUGACAUCAGGAAGACACAACUGUUGUAUGAAGAGAAACAUGGGAAAACAGAGCAGCAGGAGGACAAAACCCACUAAGAACCCUGUUGUGGGCCACACUCAUUUUUUUCCCAGACCAUGGUUUCAACUGCCCGAGU